rnacentral:rRNA from 1 species
GACGGAGCACGCCGCGUGAGUGAUGAAGGCUUUCGGGUCGUAAAACUCUGUUGUUAGGGAAGAACAAGUGCUAUUUGAAUAAGCUGGCACCUUGACUGUACCUAACCCCAAAGCCACGGCCAACUACGUGCCAGCAGCCGCGGUAAUACGUAAGUGGCAAGCGUUAUCCGGAAUUAUUGGGCGUAAAGCGCGCGCAUGUGGUUUCUAAUUCUGAUGUGAAAGCCCACGGCUCAGCCGUGGAGGGUCAUUUGAAACUGGGAAACUUGAGUGCAGAAAAGGAAAGUGGAAUUCCAUGUGUAGCGUUGAAAUGCGUAUAGAUGUGCAGGAACACCAGUGGCGAAUGCCACUUUCUGGUCUGUCACUGAGCUGAGGCGCGUAAGCGUGGGGAGCGAACAGGAUUACAUACCCUGGUCGUCCACGCCGUAGACUGUUAGUGCUAAGUGUUUGAGGGUCUCCUCCCUUUAGCGCUAACGUUAACGCAU